GAUGAACGCUAGCGGCAGGCUUAAUACAUGCAAGUCGAGGGGCAGCAUGAUUGUAGCAAUACAAUUGAUGGCGACCGGCAAACGGGUGCGGGACACGUACACAACCUUCCAAUAAGUGGGGAAUAGCCCAGAGAAAUUUGGAUUAAUACCCCGUAACAUAACGAUGUGGCAUCACAUUGUUAUUAUAGAUUUUUCGCUUAUUGAUGGGUGUGCGGCUGAUUAGAUAGUUGGCGGGGUAACGGCCCACCAAGUCUACGAUCAGUAGCUGAUGUGAGAGCAUGAUCAGCCACACGGGCACUGAGACACGGGCCCGACUCCUAGGGGAGGCAGCAGUAGGGAAUAUUGGACAAUGGACGCAAGUCUGAUCCAGCCAUGCCGCGCGAAGGAUUAAGGUCCUCUGGAUUGUAAACUUCUUUUAUAAGGGACGAAAAAAGGCUUUUCUAAGUCGUCUGACGGUACCAUAGGAAUAAGCACCGGCUAACUCCGUGCCAGCAGCCGCCGUAAAAC
rnacentral:rRNA from 1 species